rnacentral:misc_RNA from 1 species
GAUGAAGAACGUAGCAAAAUGCGAUAAGUAAUGUGAAUUGCAGAAUUCAGUGAAUCAUCGAAUCUUUGAACGCACAUUGCGCCCGCCAGUAUUCUGGCGGGCAUGCCUGUUCGAGCGUCAUUUCAACCCUCAAGCCCUCGGGUUUGGUGUUGGGGAUCGGCGAGCCUUUCUGGCAAGCCGGCCCCGAAAUCUAGUGGCGGUCUCGCUGCAGCCUCCAUUGCGUAGUAGUAAAACCCUCGCAACUGGAACGCGGCGCGGCCAAGCCGUUAAACCCCCAACUUCUGAAUGUUGACCUCGGAUCAGGUAGGAAUACCCGCUGAACUUAAGCAUAUCAAUAACGGAGGA